UGUGUCUUUAAUUGUGAGAAGGCAAACAGUUUGUGACCGCUGCGCUGUUAUGUCAAGAUGGUAUUGGAAUAAAGAACAAAAAGGACAAGAUAAGUACAGCUGGAUUUCUUGGACUGUUUACUUAAUUCAUACAUACCAGUGACAUCGCGUCACCCCCCCGUUAACGACCACCUCAGUGGCUUCAAGCGUAGGCUUAGCCUCUACAAUUAGAGUCACAAACUUGCUUUUCUUUGGGGAAAAGUUUGUGCCAACUGCGCCGCGGUGUUUUGGGGGCUCGGCGCAAACAGGACAAUUAAAGUCUGAGUGAUCGAUCGCCGUGGAGAGCUGAAUGCCGUUUGGAAACGUUUUACCGUGGAGGGUUCACGAGGAGCGGACAGCUGGAGUAUCGGUCUGUCAGCUGACGACGUGGGAUUCCUGGUGACUGUUCAUUGGAUAUUGGAGAGGACUCAGAAUUCUUCAUCGGAAUCAGCACGGCGCCCAACGUAAGGAACUGGCUAUUUGGCGCAGCAAGCACAAGAGUUCCAUAACAAUAUAAGUAUAACUUUUUGUUUUGAAUUAAAAAACAAAAACCUGUCUUUAUUGUUCCGUGUGAGGGAAACGUCAUCUUUGUAGGUAACUGACAUUUUAUAUCAAAAAAUUUAAAUCAACUGGAUGAAUCAGAUACAAUAAUCAAAAUAAAGUGAAUAAAAUUAAUAAAUAAUACGGGAGCUGAUUUCCACACCUCCUCGCGCUGUGUGAGCGAUGUGCUGACGUCACGGUCGUGCGUCGCUGUGGAGGAAUGUGCGGAAAGUUGUGUCCACUUUUCUCCGUGUGCUGUUCGUCGAAGGGAGAAAAAAAAGCUACAAACAGAAGCAGAAGUCCAGGAAAAGUUCCGUAGAGUUCGGACGUGAGGAGCCGGUGAGUGUCCGGGCUGCAGGGAGAAGUGUCGGGCUGAAAGCGCAUCUGUGCGGGGUUUUUGUCGGAGCGGAGCGGCUGCAAAGUUGAAGUCAGUUGAUCUGGACGUAGCAUUUUUGUGGGAGAAACGUUUCGUGACUCAUCCAAGUGACUUCUUCAGUCUCGGUGUUUAGAAAAAAAACUGGUCCACCCCAGUUCUAAACACCGGGUCUCUGUGGCUUUUAAACCCCAAAACACGCUGCGCCAAAAAUUGGUCCACCCCAAGGAUCGGGUCCCCCGACACAAAC
ensembl:lncRNA